GCUUGGGUGGCUCAGUCGGUUGGGCAUCUGACUUCAGCUCAGGUCAUGAUCUUUCAGUCAGUGAGUUCAAGCCCUGCCUCAGGCU
rnacentral:tRNA from 1 species